GAAAGCAAAUGCCAAUAGAAAAGAAGUCAAAACCCUCCAAACACAGAGACAAAUAGAUGGAAAGAAUCUGAGAGAAAAUUGAAGACCAAGAAAGCUCCACCCAAUCAAACAAGUUAAAACAAUCCUGACCCCAACAGGGUCAGUAGUGUCAGAAGGAUGCUUGGAAACUCAUUCACACCUGUCUCUGAAAAGCUUGGGAGGAAGUCAAUGCUUCUGGCUUCGGCUAUUAAGAAAAGUCCCUUGACUGAAAAACAAGCACGCUCUCCUGCCCCCUGCUGGUGAAAGUGCUUAUGUCCAGCGAUUGUGUUCGCAUAAGUGAUUAAGCUACAAGAACAGCCAACUACAUUUUAGUUUAACGCCAACCCAAUCCAUGUGGUUAGUUUAUGAUUCAGCAUGUUGUGCAAACCCAGAAAAUCUCAUUAAUUCCCUACAAUUAUAAUUAAGUUACCCCUGGGUAACAGAGCACUGCCAUAGCCAUCACUGUGGAUUCCUUCUGAUGCUCAAACUGUUUUCCAAAAAUCUUAGCAUCUGAGCAACUGUUACUGUGCAUGGGAUCUCAAUUUCCCAAGCUUCUCCCAUAUGUAAAUUUUUAGCGGAGCACAAGAAUAACUGGUGGAGUGCCUCGUCCCACCACUCAGAAGCAGCAUUUAGGGCCAAGGUGCCACUACCUGGAGUGGUUUAGGAUUACUAGGAGACAGUGGACUCAGCAUCAGCAAACAUGGAAGCUCUUGAGAAGGUUGGAAUCACAGCAAAGAUUUGUCAGUCCAACACCACAAGGAAGAAGGGGCAGGAAAAAGACACCCAAGGAGAAUGGAUGAGCCAGAGCUAUGUGUGGCAGUAAAAAAAAAA